CAAUCCCAUGUAUAUAAUUCCUUAUGUGCCAGGUUAGAUAUAAUAAUAUAACUUGAGAAUGUAUAUUUCAUUUUAUUUUUGAAAAUAUACGUAUCUUAAGAUUUUCUUCCCAAGGUUUCAUAUUAUAAAUGAAUAACAAUCAUGACUGCAGAAGAAAUUUAAUUAUAAGCACUGUCCAUCUCUCCCCAUUCCCAAAGUAAAAUAACUGCUUUCAGUUUGAAUAGGUAAAUUAAAUGUUUCUCUGCUCCUUCUAUUAUAGCUUUUAAGAAACAGUAUUAAAUGAUUCCUUGAGUUGAUUUCACUUUAAGAUUAUUUUAAUCCAUUACUCAUUUGAGUUUGCAUCAUUGAAUUUUCUUUAUCAAGGACGUAAGCAGGUUAAAUGUGUAUUGGGGAAAUGUCUUAAAUGUCAGUACUAUGGUCUGGCUGCCUUGUGAGUACCUCAUCAUUGGAGGUGUUAAUAAGGUGUGACUGGAUGGCUAGAAAUAUUUUAGGUGGAUAUCAUACAUCAUGUAGAGCUGAAGACUGGAAAACUGCUAAUUCUAUGCUGUGAUCCUUACUUAUGUUUAUUUUCCAAUUUAGAUGAUUAACAGAUACAAAUAGUUAUUUCCUUCAAACAUUGCUUGUUUCACUUCAAAACUUUGGGAAUGCAUGCUACGGAAAAAUCUACUUCAGUAGCAUGUGAAAAAAUACAUCUUAUUUGCCUUACCAUCAGUUUUCUAAGCAUUUUUUUUCUCUUUUGAAUACUCAUAAUAUUUUAUGUUUGUCUUAUACCAUUUAUCUCAUUCUAUCUAAUAAAUACUAACUUGUUUAUUUCUCUUAUUGUCCUUAUUGGGUUUUAAAGUUCUUCUGGGGAGAUAUUUAACAAUCUCCGUAUACCCCACAUGAGCUAUACAGAGCCAACACUAUAUAAAAUAAAGUUAUCAAAUUUCAUUUAUUGUCAUUAGUGCCUAAAACUUGGGGAAAAGUUGCUAUUGAAUAAAAUAGCGUACACUUGGUUUCUUUCUUAUCUGCCAGUCACAGAAUCUACUCUUAGCAAAUGUCAUUCUGAUUUAGAGUAAUUUUCUAAUAUAGAAAUCUCAUUUACCCAAAUACCAUUAAAAUUAUCUAAUAAGGUAACGAUUUUUAAAAGGUCCCAUUUCACUAUUUCCAAAUGGUAUCCAAAAGUACUUGUAAAUAAAAAAUUUACCCUAAGUGAGCUGUAGGCAUAGCUUCCCCAUCCAAAACAUAAAGUUAUAGAGGCUAAUCUCACGAACUUUUCUGUGGAUUUUUAAGGUUAAACUACUGGUAAAGAAGCAAUUGGUAAUUUGUUCAGACUGGAUGCCAGAAUAGCUCCGUUGUCUGUUAGCUGAUGUCUUUGAAUCUUUGGGCUCACUUUUUAUCAAUGUGAGUUUAUGAGAAGCCUUAAACUCUGGCAUACUUCAAAGUCUGGUAACUUUUUUUAGGCCUCUCACCUCCUUUCUGCAACCUUUCUUAACUCUCACAUUAGGGGGAAAAAACAUAUGGGAUCUCAAAAAAACUAAGUAAGCAUAUUUUAUUGUUUAUCUUAAAAAAUGCAUUUUUUUAAAUCAAGGAAAAUCAUUAACUACAUCAGUAUCGAUGAAUUACAUGUUGUAGUCAUCAUAUUUUAAUGAGUCUUCUCUAAUAUUUUUAGUUCUGAGUUUGUAGAAAGUGGCAGAUGCUGUUCUGGUUAAAAGGCUUUCCAACUGAUUAACGUGUUCAUCCCUAAUUUAAUUUUUUAAGAAAGACACUUAUGACAGCGAGAAGAAAACGUUUCAUCUUCAUAGGAAAUCUGGCAAAAUAUCUUGGCUUUUGCUCAAAAUUUGAAAGCAAAUGGGAAUCAGUUUCAAAUAUUGGAAAAGUCAAGAAAACGAUUCUAGCUCUGGCUCUGUCAUUGGCUCUCUAUUUCUUCAUGUAUAAAAUGAUGGAAAUAGAUUAAUUUCUAAUACCUCUUUCAACUCCACUAACAUUCUUUUAUUGAUAGCAUUUGUUAGGGAGAAAUAACAAGAUUUGUUUAUGGAUUGUGAUAGGAUAUCAAUAAGGGGGUAUAACAAAGAUACCUAAAAUUUUCAUCCUUGGACUAGUAAAGAAUGGUCAGUCCACAAAAACAAAAUAGGGGUUUUGUGUUAAGGGUAGCCAGGUCGAAGAUAACUUCUGUUUUGAAAUGUUAAAGGAAUAUCUUCUACAAGUUUAUGAGACUCAUGGGAGUGGCCAUUGCAUGGUAAUAUGGCAUAGUAUUAUAUUGUUUACAUACAAUUUAAAAAGUACAGGUAGUACUGAAAAACAUCUGUUCCUGUCCUCAUCCCUUUUGACUCCUAGAUCAGUUUUUCCAGGGCAAAAGUUGCAAAUAAUUUUUGCUUUAUCAACAUUUUUUAUUAACUUCAUGCUAUGAUAGAUGAUGUACUCUUUGUGCUACUUCCCUUAUCCCUCUUCCACCAUCUCCUCCCAAUGUGUUACUGUUUUUAAUUAAAUCAAUAAGCAAUGUUUACAUUAUUUUGAAUAUGUACAUAUUAUAAAUAUGUUGCUUAUUGUAUUGUCAGGUAAUACUCUAUGGUUCUAUUUCUUUUUAUCUUUUCCCUAUAGUUUCUAAUUACAUUUCUUUUAUUCCUGUAAUACAUUUCUUAUACUAUUUGGGUUUUUCUUAAUGCUCCAUGAUAUCCACUUUCCUCACUUUUUCCCUGAGAGACUACACUGGGAACCAAAUUGUCAGUGGUCUUUUUUUAUUUUCUGAUUUUGUUUAUGGUACAUAAAAAUAGAAUUCACUUUAACAUAUUGGUUUCAUAUCCAGCAACUUUGCUAAAAUUCAUUAAUUCUAAUUUCUUUGUAGAUUCUUUUGAAUUUUCUCUGUAUGCAAUCAUAUCACCUGUGAAUAACAUUUUUGUUUCUUUUUUUUAAACAAACUUUUUCUUUUCUUUCAAUAAUGGCUAGGCCCUAGGUUAAAUCCAACUUUAUCACAUUUUAUUUAAUAUUUUUGCAUCUGUAUUCAUUGGUAAGAUUGGCCUGUAAUUUUUCUUUCAGACUCAGUUCUGUUUAGGUUUGAUAUAAUGGUUAUGCUAGGUUUAUCUCUCCUCUUCUGUUUUCUGGAAGAGUUUGGUUAGGUUUAAUGCUUUUUGUUCUAGCUUAAUUACAUUAUGGUUAGAGAUCAUGUUCUGUACAAAUUCCAUCCUUCGAGAUUUGUUUAGACAAGCCUUAAGGUCCAGUAUAUGGUUAGUUUUUAUAAAUAUCCCGGAUGUGCCUGAUAUAAAUGUGUGUCUUUCAUUUCAUGAGGCAUUGUAUUAUAUAUGUCCAUUAGAACACGUUUCUUAGUCAUGUUCAAAUCUUUCUACAUUUUUACAGUUUAUUUUCUUUACAUGUUCAAUCAGCCAUUAGAGGUCUGUUUAAAAUCUCCGACUCUGAUUGUGGAUUUGUUUAUUUCAAUUUGUUUAUUUCAAUUUAUUUUAAUAUCUUCCUUGGGAACCAAACCUUUUAUCAUUCUGAAGUGGCCUUGUUUCAGCUUUUGCAACACUUGUGCCUCAAAAUCUACUUUGACUGAAAUUAAUACAGCUAUACUAGCUUCUUUUGGUUAUUAUUUGUGUAUGACUUUUAAAAUUUUUAAUUCCAACCUUUCUGUGUAACUGUAUGUUUUUGAUAUCUCUGAUGAAUGGCUCAAAUGUUGAAAUUUGCCCCUGUUUUUGCAGUCUGAAGGUAUUUGUCUCUAGAAUGUUUCUCAAUGUACUUACCUAACUUUUUAGUAACCAGAUUUUCAAAAAAUUUAAAGACGAUAUAAUGAACACCAUUGUAUAUUCAUCUAGAUUCAACACUUGUUAGUAUUUUGCCAUAUUUGUUUGUCUCUUGCUUUCCAGGGUAUCUAUGUGUGUGCAUGUGUUUAAUGAUUAUGUAAGUAUAUGUGUGUUUAUACACAUUUUGCUAAGCCAUUUAAAAGUAAGUUGCAGAAAUCAGACACUUUAUAUGCAUAAAUACCUGAGCAUGCAUCAUGCCUCACCUAAGGAAACAUAAACAUGACAUAAUUAUCAAACAUAAGAAAAUCAACAGCAAUCUUAAAGUGUUAUUUAAUAUUCAAGUCAUAAACAAAUUUCCCUAAUGGUCCUAAAAAGUCUUUCAUAGCUGUUCAUGUACUGCAUUUAUUUAUUCUCUUACAAAUUUGAAUAUCUAGAAUGCGUUGGAGGAAAAUUUUCCGUGGAUCUUUCAUGUCUCUGUACAUCCUGAGAAGAGAGGCAUUGUCAUUGUUCUGAACUCUCUUUUCAAGGAUCUGUUAUAAUGAAUAACUCGGAAAAUUGAGAUAGUAUCUCACUUUGGAGGAAAGGCCAGGUUUGUCUACCUUCUAGUACAAUAAAGAUAUUAAAAAUAUCUCUGGGCAAAGAUAAAGCAAGCUUACUGCCCACUAUAAAAUAUAUGGAUUCCCUAAACACCCA
rnacentral:lncRNA from 10 species